rnacentral:rRNA from 1 species
GCUUAACACAUGCAAGUCGAGGGGAAACGAUAGAGAAAGCUUGCUUAUUCUAGGCGUCGACCGGCGCACGGGUGAGUAACGCGUAUCCAACCUGCCCAUCACUUGGGAAUAACCUUGCGAAAGUAAGACUAAUACCCAAUGAUAUCUCAAGAAGACAUCUGAAUGAGAUUAAAGAUUUAUCGGUGAUGGAUGGGGAUGCGUCUGAUUAGCUUGUUGGCGGGGUAACGGCCCACCAAGGCGACGAUCAGUAGGGGUUCUGAGAGGAAGGUCCCCCACAUUGGAACUGAGACACGGUCCAAACUCCUACGGGAGGCAGCAGUGAGGAAUAUUGGUCAAUGGGCGAGAGCCUGAACCAGCCAAGUAGCGUGCAGGAUGACGGCCCUAUGGGUUGUAAACUGCUUUUAUAAGGGAAUAAAGUGAGUCUCGUGAGACUUUUUGCAUGUACCUUAUGAAUAAGGACCGGCUAAUUCCGUGCCAGCAGCCGCGGUAAUACGGAAGGUCCGGGCGUUAUCCGGAUUUAUUGGGUUUAAAGGGAGCGUAGGCCGGAGAUUAAGCGUGUUGUGAAAUGUAGAUGCUCAACAUCUGCACUGCAGCGCGAACUGGUUUCCUUGAGUACGCACAAAGUGGGCGGAAUUCGUGGUGUAGCGGUGAAAUGCUUAGAUAUCACGAAGAACUCCGAUUGCGAAGGCAGCUCACUGGAGCGCAACUGACGCUGAAGCUCGAAAGUGCGGGUAUCGAACAGGAUUAGAUACCCUGGUAGUCCGCACGGUAAACGAUGGAUGCCCGCUGUUGGUCUGAAUAGGUCAGCGGCCAAGCGAAAGC